GCUGGGUGUGGUGGUGCACACCUGUAAUCCCAGCUACUCGGGAGGCUGAGGCAGGAGAAUCACUUGAACCUGGGAGGUGGAGGUUGCAGUGAGUCGAGAUCACACCACUGCACUCCACCCUGGGCAACAGAGCGAGACUUUGUCUCAA
rnacentral:SRP_RNA from 1 species